rnacentral:misc_RNA from 1 species
UUAAGUUCAGCGGGUAUUCCUACCUGAUCCGAGGUCAAAAUUCAGAAGUUGGGGGGUUUUACGGCAAGAGCACCGCUAAUCCUUCCAAAGCGAGGUGAUAAACUACUACGCUCAGAGUCUUAGCGAGCCCGCCACUGAAUUUCAGAGCCUACCGCUUUAUACAAACGGUAGUGCUCCAACACCAAGCAAGGCUUGAGGGG